UGGGGAAUAUUGCACAAUGGGCGCAAGACUGAUGCAGCCAUGCUGCGUGUGUGAAGAAGGCCUUCGGGUUGUAAAGCACUUUCAGCGGGGAGGAAGGCGAUAAGGUUAAUAACCUUGUCGAUUGACGUUACCCGCAGAAGAAGCACCGGCUAACUCCGUGCCAGCAGCCGCGGUAAUACGGAGGGUGCAAGCGUUAAUCGGAAUUACUGGGCGUAAAGCGCACGCAGGCGGUCUGUCAAGUCGGAUGUGAAAUCCCCGGGCUCAACCUGUGAACUGCAUUCGAAACUGGCAGGCUAGAGUCUUGUAUAGGGGGUUAGAAUUCCAGGUGUAGCGGUGAAAUGCGUAGAGAUCUGGAGGAAUACCGGUGGCGAAGGCGGCCCCCUGGACAAAGACUGACGCUCAGGUGCGAAAGCGUGGGGAGCAAACAGG
rnacentral:rRNA from 1 species